rnacentral:hammerhead_ribozyme from 1 species
AUUCAACUGACGCGUAUGAAAUAAGACGAAACGCGCUUCCUGGAU